UCCGCAAUGGACGAAAGUCUGACGGAGCAACGCCGCGUGAGUGAUGACGGCCUUCGGGUUGUAAAGCUCUGUUAAUCGGGACGAAAGGCCUUCUUGCGAACAGUUAGAAGGAUUGACGGUACCGGAAUAGAAAGCCACGGCUAACUACGUGCCAGCAGCCGCGGUAAUACGUAGGUAGCAAGCGUUGUCCGGAAUUAUUGGGCGUAAAGCGCGCGCAGGCGGAUCAGUCAGUCUGUCUUAAAAGUUCGGGGCUUAACCCCGUGAUGGGAUGGAAACUGCUGAUCUAGAGUAUCGGAGAGGAAAGUGGAAUUCCUAGUGUAGCGGUGAAAUGCGUAGAUAUUAGGAAGAACACCAGUGGCGAAGGCGACUUUCUGGACGAAAACUGACGCUGAGGCGCGAAAGCCAGGGGAGCGAACGGGAUUAGAUACCCCGGUAGUCCUGGCCGUAAACGAUGGGUACUAGGUGUAGGAGGUAUCGACCCCUUCUGUGCCGGAGUUAAGCAAUAAGUACCCGCCUGGGGAGUACGACCGCAAGGUUGAAACUCAAAGGAAUUGACGGGGGCCCGCACAAGCGGUGGAGUAUGUGGUUUAAUUCGACGCA
rnacentral:rRNA from 1 species